rnacentral:misc_RNA from 1 species
GUAGGUGAACCUGCGGAAGGAUCAUUAACACGUAUCCAACGUUAAACAACCCCGUGAACCUUCAGCCUGCUCUCGUAGCCCACGCGGCAACAGCAAUCCCGGUAAAUCAUUGUCAACCAGUUUUGAUUCGGGACCUCUGUUACGAUGUGAGAAGUUACAGUUACGAUCGAGCGGUAGAGUCAGUGGCAUGGCUUCCCCAAGCAGAAUCCAGAGAAUGAAAGGAUCACUGGCUGCGCAAGGAUAACGCCUC